GUGUGUGUGUGUAUCACAAGAAAGUUAGGUUCUAAUAGGUUGCUCUAGCCAUAGAAAUUAAACGGACCCUUGGGGCUCACUGUACGAGCCACUAAAACCAAACCUAGCAACUACCAAGUGCACAGAUCAUUAAGAG